rnacentral:lncRNA from 1 species
ACUAGUCGAGCUCGAGUUGUAGCUCUCCAAAUAUGAGCCAAAAGUGACUGAAGAGAGGAGAUUGACGUAGUGGCAGCUUCAGCAUUGGCUUUUGCUUUGAGCAUCGCUAUUUUUCCCUUGGUAAAAUGAAAAACUCUUUCUUGCAAAGGUGAUGGAAUGAACGAAUCAGAGUUGUUCUUUAUGACUGAGAGAGGAAGGCGAAUCGGCGGGCUAAUACUACCGUUGAGAAGUGACCACCGUUCAAGGACAGGAGUCUUGGAGAUGUGAUCCAACCCACGAUGGAUUUCAGACCAAGAAUUGAAGAAAUUCCAAAAUGACGUGCCAUCAACAGCAGCAUGGUUCAUGGUACAACCAACAAAGAUGCCAUCUACAAGCUCAGUAACUUGAACUGCAAGCAAAGGUUUGGAAACAGCCUCGUAGUUUAAAACCCCAUUUAAUGGAAAGAAAGAGUGGAGAAUUGGAGGAACAUAAACUGGCUGGAGGAUGUCAGCCAUGGUUACACCAUCCGCUGCGGCAUGAACAAACUGUGCUCCUGCAUUGUUGCAGUCAAUGAAGAAGGAGACUGUGUUAUCGUCAUGUUCUACUGUGGCUAGGCGACCAGCAAGAGGAUAGAAGAAAUCUAGUGUGCGAGAAAGUGAGAUUUUCAAGUGUUGGAUCAGUGAGUUUUGAUCUUCUAAUGAUUUGGGUUUGAGGAAGAGAAGACCCUUUUGGAUGGCACCUACUAGAAGAAGCUUGAGAUCACACUGAGUCAACUCAAUCCUCUCAUCCGUCACCUUGUCGGUAGUCGCUUGAACCAUGCUUGUAGAGAGCAAUCUAAUGUUUGCCAUGUUAAAUUUCUUGUCUGAUGAAGUUUUCCCACUAUGGAGUGUCCUUUUAAGCUCUGAGAAUGAAACUUAGCUCUCCUUUUCUCAAGUAAAAAGAAAAGAAAAACACUGAUUCUUCAAGACAACUAGAAAAAACCAGCGAUUGGUUACGUGCAGAUUUUAAAGAAAUUAUUUAUAAUAUAACCAAUGAAGGACCCACACGUGUCUGAUGCACAUGUCUCGCACCCAAAAAAGUUUUUCCCAUGACUCUCCCACUCAUAGUUUUAAAACCCGGACCGGCCCGGCGGGUCGACCAGGAACCCGGCAGACCCGAGCAUGGGACCGGUCCGGGUAAAGGCCAAAACCCGCUUGGGAAUUGGCCCGGUCGACCCGGCGGGUCGACCCAGGACCCGGUUGACCCGGCAAGACCCGGUCAACAUCCGGCCUCAAACCCGUUGACUUUUAUUUAUUUUUUUGUUUUUUUUUUACUAAAACGACGUCGUUUUGAUUUUUUUAAAAAAAAUUAAAAAAUAAAUUCUGACCCGGCUGACCCGGUCAAAACCCGGAACCCGGGCCUUGGACCGGGCCGCCCCCCGGGCCGGGUCUAAAAACACUCCCCCCACCUCUCGGCCAUUUGAGGGGAAAUGCGGAAAAAAAAAAAAAAAAUAUUAUUUAAUUUUAUAAGGGUUUUUUUUACUAAAACGACGUCGUUUUGAUUUUUUUAAAAAAAAUUAAAAAAUAAAUUCUGACCCGGCCGACCCGGUCAAAACCCGGAACCCGGGCCUUGGACCGGGCCGACCACCGGGCCGGGUCUUAAAACUAUGCUCCCACUCUUCGAGCAUUUGAAGGGAAAUGCGGAAAAUAAAAAAAAAUAUAUUAUUUAAUUGUAAUAGUGUUUUUUUCACUAUAUUUUUCAUUUGUUUUUUUUUAAUUUAUGAUUUUUUUUUACUUUUUACAAUAUUAUUCUGGUCUCAUGACUCAUAUCAAGUUUAUCUAUAUUGAUUUAGGUUAUUUUUUUAUUUUUUAUUUUAAUUAAUUUUUUUUAUUUUAUUUUUUAAUAUUAAAUUAAUUGAGAUACAUCUGGAUUUUUUUAGACUCGUCAAGUCAAUUAGUCAUAUCAAAUUAUUAAAAUAAUUAUAUAUAAAAUAUAUUAAAAUAAAAUUAGCUCUUCUAGUGGUUUUUUAUUGUUGAAGAUGUGCAUGUGUGUGUAUACAUUAAUUUGGCUCUUGUAAAUAACAUUCUAAAGAUACUUUUAGAUUUUGUGGUUGGCAAUGAAGUGAUUUUUAAAAAUUUUUUAAUUAAAAAGGUUUUUUGAGAUUUAUUUUUAUUUUUACAUCAAAAUAUCUAAAUUAUUAAAAAAUAUCUAUAAAAAUAUUAAUUUAAUAUUUUAUUCAAUAAAAAAAAAUUAAAUAACACUUUAAGAAUAAAAUUCAACCAUAACACAAAUCCUAAAAUCAACAAAUGAUGAACAAAGAAUGACUAGAAAUAUAUAUUCAUUUCCUAUCUAACCAAGCAAUGUAAGAAUCUGUUAAAAGGAAAAAUUAAAGAAAAAAUUUAGUUGUUAUCUAACUAAUCAUGAUUCUAUACUCUUUAUCUAUAUGCGUAUAAUAUCAUAUAAAUAUAUAAAAAAAAAAACAAUUAAAAAGAUAAAAAUAGAAAGCAAUAAAUGAUAUGUACUUGACUUCGUUUUUACUUUAAUUAUGACUACAGGAUUCUUCAAUUCAAUAAGAAUAAGAGUCGCUUAUUCUAACUAAGUAAAUAAUAUAUUAAGCAACAUCAGUAAUUAAGGAUGUAUUUUAGAUAGAUUGUGACACUGAUAAUGAUUUAAAGUAUUUUUUUUUAUAAAAAUAUAUUAAAAUAAUUUUUUUUAUUUUUUUAAAAUUAUUUUUAACAUGAUAUAUUAAAAUAUUAAAAAAAUGAUGGGGAACCUAAAAAAAAACCAUAAAAAAAAUUAAACUAGUUAAAUAAUGCUGCCAGUCUGGAGUCAGGACCACAAGUGGUUGUGUGUCUUCUAAUCAUUUAAUGCCCUAGGCCUUGCGAUAAAGGACGCCCAUGUGGCUCUGAUGAUCUGAUCUACCUCUAGCACUUUCGUCCAUUAUGUCAGAAACUUUGACAGGUUUGAGAGGACAAUUUGGGUGAUGAAGACAGCUAUUUGGAAAAUUAACAUGUGUUUGAAAUAUAGAUGUGGUUGGAUUUAAAAAAAAAAAAAAACUUUUAAAAGUAUAAAUCAUAUUUUAUAAAAGUAAAAGUUAGAUGCUUAUUUAUGUGGGUUCAUAAAAGAAACUAACCAUAUUUUUAUUCGACACACCUUAAAUAUGUAAAAAUUAAAAUUAGCCAAGAGAUCAAUCCUCUAUAUAUAUAUAUAAUCUGUUUUUGUAGCAACAGAGUACUACAAUUAAAAGACACAUGAUCAGAUAAUAGAGAAUAAUUAAUAGAAAUUAUAUAAAAGUAUUAGUUAGGUAGGUCAUGCUCCGCUACGAGGUUAUCUUUUAAAAUAUCAUAAAAAUCUAAGAUUUAAAAACAUUGAUCCAGGAGCAUUGAGUCUUGUUGGAACGCUAAACCAAACAAUAAUAUUUAAUGUAUUUGCCAAAAAUUUAUGUUUUUUAAUCUUUCAAAAAAAUUAAUAUUUUUCUUCUAUGGUAAUAAUAGCUUUUUAAAUUUUCAUAAUAAUAAUAAUAAUAAUUUUUAAUUAUAUACUUCAAAUAAAAUCUAUGGUUAUUUUUCAAUAUUGAUAAUAAUUUUUUUCAAAUUUAUUAAAUAUUUUAUUAAUAAUAUUAAUUAUAAUAAUAAUAAUAAUAUUUAUAACACAAAUAAUACUAUUUUUAAUAUAAAUACUUUAAAUUAUAAUAAAAAUAAUAAUAUUUACAAUACAAAUAAUACAAUUUUUAUUAUAGUAUGAAUACUUUUAAUUAUAAUAAAUAUAAUAAUAUUGAUAACACAAAUAAUUAUAUUUAGAAACUCAAAAUGCAAGAGCUUUGGGUCUUGCGGCAGAACCAAAAAGCAUAGUUUUGAAACCCGAUCGAAUCAUCGACCCGGUCUAGUGAUUGGGUCACGGGUCAGAUGAGUUGACCCGGGUUGACUCGGGUCAACCCAAAAAAAAAAAGCACCUAUAUAAAACACCUAAUUUUGCAUAAAUAUUAUUGUUUUUACAUUAACAUUGAGAUUCCUCUAAUUUUACAAAAUAAAUGAAUAGUUUAUGUAAUUUUAAAAACUAAUGAAUUAAUUUAUUGACUCGUGCCUCAAUUUAAUAUUAUUUUUUAAUUUAUUUUUGGGCAAUCUUUCUAUAUUAUUUACCAUUAAAUAAAUAAAUUAAUUAAUUAAAAAUCAACAUGAAAUGGAUUUUAGAAGUACUUAACUAGUUUUAAAACUAAGAAGAAACUAUUCUUUUUUUUUUUUGCAAAUUAAAAGAACUAAUUUAUAAUAUAAAUGUCAUGCCCCUUCACUUUUUGGAGCAAAGCGUAACAUUACAUUACCACUUUAAUAAUAAUAAUAGUAAUAAUAGUAAUUAAUUCAUUAAAAACCAAGCAUAAACAUCUCUGGUAAUAUUAGUCUUAAAAAUAAUGAAAUUUGUUCCAUCAACCACUACGCAGAAUCAUUAAUAACACUGUAAUGCAUAAUCAAAGACAGCUAUUUAUAAGUGAUUCUUCCUUCGUGCUCAACAACAACCCCAACUGGAAGAACAAAAUAGCCAUGUACAGACGCAAUGAACGAGCUAUACAACAGAAUCGUCAGUCGCAGAUCAAAGGAUCACCACCGCUCCGUUUCUCAAUCAAUGGGUCCGUGAAGGACAACCCAUCAACAAAAUUCAUUUCCAGGGGGUCCGGUCUCACAAAGCGAUAUGCUCAUGCUCUUGCUCUUAAGUUGUAAGUGUAUAUUUGUGUGUGCAGUGAAAUGGGUUUUUGAGAAACAACAGUCUUCUGCUUCUCUGCUCCUCAGCAAUUGAAAUUAGUCUUUCGUUAAUUAGGUUUUGCUCUAUGAGUUUGUGUCCCCAAUUCUGCAUCGUUGUUCUUCAUUCGUUUGUGUCCCCAAACGAUGAUACUUUAAAUUCUUCAGUCGGGUUUGACCGGGUGGCCCGGGUUUCACCGGGCCAUUUCCCAAAUGGGUUUUUACCUAUACCCAGACCGGUCCCAGGCCCGGGUCGACCUAUCGGGGCGGUCCGGGUUUUAAAACUGUGCUAAAAAGACUCUUGUCCAGAUCCAGGAUUCAAGAGCAUUAGGUCCUAACACAACACCCAAAGUAAUUGGUUCUUUAUCUAGAACACCCAAGAAAAUAAUAAUAAUAAUACCACAAAUAAAAAUAUUUUUUAUAUUAAUACUUUCAAUUAUAAUAAAAAUAAUAAUAUUUAUAACAUAAAUAAUACUAUUUUUUUAAUUAUAAUAAAAAUAAUAAUAUUUAUAAUAAAAAUAAUACUAUUUUUAAAAUGAAUACUUUUAAUUAUAAUAAAAAUAAUAAUAUUUAUAAUAAAAAUAAUACUAUUUUUAAAAUGAAUACUUUUAAUUAUAAUAAACAUAAUAAUAUUGAUAACACAAAUAAUUAUAUUUAGAAACCCAAAACCCAAAAACAUCGGGUCCUGACGCAAGACCCAAGCCAAUUGGGUCCAAACCCAAGACCCAAAAACCUUGGUUCAUGUCGUAGAAACCAAGUGAGAUGGGUCCAGCAGCAGCACCCAAGAACACUGGGUCCUUACAGCGGACCUAACAUAAUUGCGUCCUCCACAGGACUAAAGAGCAUUGGGACUUAGCGAGCACCCAAGCGACAUGGAUCCUGAAAAAUAAUAAUACUAAUAGUUAUAAUAAAAAUAAUAAUACUAUUAGUUAUAAUAAUAAUAAUAAUAAUUUUAAUUCUAAUAUUAUUAAUUUUAAUAAAAAAUACUAAUAUUUAUAAGAUAAAUAAUAAUAUUUUUGUAUUAAUAUUUAGAAUUAUAAUAAAAAUAAUAAUAUUUAUAACACAAAUAAUUAUAUUUUUUGUAUGAAUAUUUUGAAUUAUAAUAAAAAUAAUAAUAUUUAUAACACUAAUUAUAAUAUUUUUGAUAUUAAUACUUAUAAUUAAAAUAUAAACAUAAUAUUCUAGAUAUGAAUACUUUGAGUUAUAAGAAAAAUAAUUAUAUUUAUAACACAAAAAAUUAUAUUUUUUAUAUGAAUACUUUGAAUUCUAUUUUUUUAAUCUUUUUAAAAAAUAGUUUUUCUUCAAUAGUAAUAAUUGUAAUUUUUAAAAUUUGUUAAUGAUAAUAAUAAUGUUUUUUUUUUCAAAUUUAUUAAUUAUUUUAGUAAUAAUAAUAAUAAUAAUAAGAUAAAUAAUAAUAUUUUGAUAUUAAUACUAUUAAUUAUAAUAAAAAUAAUAAUUAUUAUAAUACAAAUAAUACUAUUUUUAAUAUGAAUACUUUUAAUUAUAAUAAACAUAAUAAUAUUGAUAACACAAAUAAUUAUAUUUAGAAACUCAAGACUUAAGAAUAUUGGGUCCUGUCUCUGGACCAAGGCAGUGUUUGGGAACACAGUUCAACCUGCGUUCCCAAAAAAAUUAAAAUUUUUUUUUUUUGCUAAAAUUGAGUGUGGUUUGUACCUUUUGGAUCGUUUUGAUAUGCUGAUGUCAAAAAUAUUUUUUAAAAAAAUGAAAAAACAUCAUUGACAUGCAUUUCGGUACAAAAAGUUAUUUGAAAAGCAACUACUACCACACUGCCAAACACGCUCCAAAUGGGCUUGGGUCCUGCGUCAAGACUCAAGACACAAGAGCUUUGGGUCCUGUGUCAGCACCCAAGCAUUGGCUCCGGCUCAGGACCCAAGAGACUUGGCUCAUGACGCAGGACUCAAGCAAAAUAAGUCUUGACGCAGGACACAAGCGCAUUGGAUCUAAACAUCAAACCCAAUAUAAUUUGGUCAUGACAUAGGACCCAAUAUCAAUUGGUUCUACGUUAGAAGCACCUAAGAAAAUUAUAGUAAAAAUAAUAAUAUUUAUAUCAUAAAUAAUAAUAUUUUUUCUAUUAAUACUUUGAUUUAUAAUAAAAAUAAUAAUAUUUAUAACACAAAUAAUAAUAUUUAUAACACAAAUUUCUUGUCUGACGAAAGUUUUCCGCUAUGGAGCGCCCUUUUAAGCUCUGAGAAUGAAACUGAGCUCUCCUUUUCUCAAGUAAAAAGAAAAGAAAAACACAGAUGCUUCAAGACAACAAGAAAAAACCAGCGAUUGGUUACGUGCAGAUUUCAAAGAUAUUAUUUAUAAUAUAAUCAAUGAAGGACCGACACGUGUCUGAUGCACAUGUCUCGCACCCAUAUGUUUUUUCCCUUGACUACUCUUCCACUCUUGAGCAUGUGAAGGGAAAUGCGGAAAAUAAAAAAAAUAUAUAUUAUUUUAGUUUUUAAUAUUUAUUUUACAUGCUUUAAAUGAAGUACAAAACAAAAUAUUAUUUUAUUAUUUUUCUAUAAAAAUAUUAUUCUUACUUAUCUUAUAAAAAUAUCAAAAUACAAUUCAUUGUAAUAGUGUUUUUUUCACUAUGUUUUCAUUUGUUUUUUUUUAAUUUAUGUUUCUUUGUUUGUUUUUUAGAGAAUUUUCCUAGUCUCAUGACUCGUGUCAUGGGUUUAACGAGUUCAUCUGUAUUGAUUCGGGUUAUUUUUUAUUUUUUAUUUUAAUUAAUUUUUUUAAUUUCAUCUUUUAAUAUUGAAUUAAUUGAGAAUCGUCUGGAUCUUUUUAGAUUCAUAAAGUUAAUUAGUAAUAUCAAGUUAUUAAAAUAAUUGUAUAUAAAAUAUAUUAAAAUAAAAUUAGCUCUUCUAAUGGCUUUUUACUGUUGAAGGUGUGCGUAUGUGUAUAUAUAUACACACACGUACCAAUUUGACUCUUGUAAAUAGCAUUCUCCUCUUAAAGAUACUCUUAGAUUUUGUGAUCGGCAAUGAGGUGGAGUGUGAUUUUUAAAAAUAAUUUUUAAUUAAAAAGGUUUUUGAGAUUUGUUUUUAUUUUUUACAUUAAAAUAUCUAAAUUAUUAAAAAAAUAUAUCUAUAAAAAUAUUAAUUUAAUAUUUUUUCAACCAAAAAAACAAUUUAAAUAACACUUUGAGAAUAAAAUUCAACCAUAAAAACAAAUCCUAAAAUCAACAAAUUAUGAACAAAGAAUGACUAGAAAUAUAUAUUAAUUUCCUAUCUAACCAAGUAAUGUAAAAAUCUGUUAAAAGGAAAAAUUAAAGAAAACAUUUAGGUUAUUUUUAAACCCGCCAAGUCAACUGGAUCAUAUCAAGUUGAUAAAAUAAUUAUGUAUUAAAUAUAUUAAAAUAAAAUUGAUUGUUCUAAUAUUGAAAUAUAUAUAUAUAUACUAUUUAAAAAACCAUAUUAUCAAUUUAGCUCUUUUAAAUAUCAUUUCCUCUUAUAGAUGCUCUUGGAGUUUAUGAUUGGCAAUGGAGAGCAUGAUUUUUAAAAAUGAUUUUAAAUUAAAAAUGUAGUUUUUUUUAGUUUUAUUUUUAUUUUUAUUUUUUAUAUAAAAAUAUCCAAAUUAUUAAAAAUAUUUAAAAAUUAUUAUUUUAAUAUUUUUUCAAACAAAAAAAUAAUUUGAAAAACUUUUGAAAAUAUAUUCUAACAAUAAAAACAAAUACUAAACUCUGGUGAUAAGAAAGGUUGUUAGGCAGAUGAUUUAUUUGUUUGCUAGUCUGAAUGAUGUCUGAUUUGAAACAACCAUAAAACUUUCCUAGGCUCCAAAGUCCAGGCACGUGCCCAAGAGCAGACCUCGCUGUAAGCCCUGGCAUGUCUGUAUUACAAACCCAAACAAAUUUUCUAGGCCUUCUUCUUCUUUUACAAUGGUAUUUUAAAAAUAAUUCAAUUAUUCCAUGUUUUGAAUAAUAUUUGAAAUUUUAUUGUAUUAUUUUUUAUUGUGAUAUUUACUUAUUUUUUAUGAUUAUAUUGGAUACUAAUCCGUACAAGUCUAAACAAAUUAGGAUAAAUAUUCAUUAAGAAUAAAAUAUAUAAUUUUAUAUUUUUAUAUUUUCAAACUGUAUAUUAUUUAUUCCAAUUAAUUAUUAAUUUAUUUUUUAUUAAGUCACAUGAAACAAAUUGAAAUAUUUUUUUAUUAUUCUCUUUAAGAUUGCUUUAAAAUAUGAUAAAUUUUUAUUUUAAUAAUAGUGCUUUUGAUAAAAAAAAACAAUUACCUAGAAAAUUCUUCAAAAACUUAAUGAAUAAGGAAAAUGAAGUCUUGGCUAAAGAAAUCAUUCUUUCUUUCAUAAUUUUAAUCAUUCGAGUUUUGAUAUAUAUUUAUUUUAAUUGCUUUAAAUAUUUGCGCAAAUAAUGAUAUUGUUAAUAAAAACAAUCAUUGUUCUGUAAAAAACAAAAACUAUAAUUAACAAAAAGGAAUUUUGACAAUAAAAAUAAUGUUUUUUUCUCAUAAUUUAAAUCAUUAAGGUUUUUAUUAAUAUUUAUUUUAAUUAUUGCAAAAACAAUUAUAGAAUUUAUUCCUCUUAAAUUUUAAAUAGAUGAGCUAUAUUUUCUUAAUAAAUUUAUAAGAAACAAAAUUAUAUUCAUUUUGUGAACCAACAUUACCCUCCAGGAUAAAAUAUUUACAUAUGCAUUUAUCUUUCACUUCUUAUAUAAAAUAUAUUUUUCUACUUUAAUCUUUAAUUAAUGUUAAUUACUCUUUCAUGAUUAAAAACAUUACUUUUCAAAUAAGAUUUAAAUUUUUUUAUGGUUAUAUUAUCAAUUAAUUUAUAAGAAAUUUAUAUAAAUCUAAUUUGUAAUUUUGUUUUAAAAGUUGCUCCUGACUAGUCAAUGAGAGUGAUUUUUUAUUUUUCUUAUAUUAAUGUUUAUAUAAUUUUCUUAUAUUAAUUAUUUAUAUUUUAUUUUUUAUACUAUUGCUUGAAAUUACUAUGAUAUAUUUUUAAAAAUGAAUCUUAAAAAGAUAUUAUUGAUUAAAAAAACAUAAUAAGGAAGAAAGUGAUUAAAAUCAUUUGAAUUCUUUUGAAUGUUGAUUUUAAUUGUGUUAAGUUUUUAUUUAGAAAUUAUGCUACAUAUAAAAAAUACAUGUUUUCAUAAAAAAAAAUGAUAAAUUUUUUUAAAAUAUUUUUUUAUAAUUUAAAUUGUAAAAUUUUUGAAAAAUAUUUAUUCUCAUUAUCACAUAAUUAAAUAAAAUAAGUUGUAAAACUUUCUUAAACUUCCUUUAUAUAGCUAGUUCUCUUCUAAGGCAUUUCUCAUCAUAAAAAAGAAAUCAAAUUUUAGCUUUUUAUAGGAAUCCCAGGUAGCUUGAGUUUCUUUCCCCCUUUGUAGGGGAGUGCCCCUCUGUGUAAAUUUCAAAGGAAAAAAGGGAAUUGUCAACCCUGUUAUGUAUUAAUUGAGUUUGUCACAACUGCAUUAUUUACAAGAUUAUUUUCCUAUAUUGUGCUAAGCUAAUUCUGGAAUAAGAGUUACAAUAGGAAUACAUAUCUUUGACAACAUACGUUUCCUAAUACAUUACGUAAACAUGAGAUUGAUUCUUUCUUAACACUUCCCCUCAAGUUGGAGAGUGGAUGUCAAGAACUCCCAACUUGCGAAUCAUGGUGGAGAAGCUAGUUUUUCCCAAUGGUUUAGUGAAGACAUCCGCAAGCUGUUUUGCUGAAGUAACAAAUUCAGUCAUGAUCGAACCAUCCUGUAUUUUGUCCCGAAUGAAGUGACAAUCCAUUUCUAUAUGUCUGGUUCUCUCAUGAAAAAAUGGAUUAGCUGCUAUGUGUAAAACUGCUUUGUUGUCGCAGUGUAGUAAUGCUGGUUUCGGGUGCAAUAUCUGUAGGUUUUUCAACAAUGAUCGUAACCAAGAUAACUCACAACAUGUACCUAUCAUAGCUCUGUAUUCGGCUUCUGCUGAGGAGAGUGAUAAUGUCUUUUGUCUUUUCAUUCGCCAAGAAACAAAUGAAGAACCCAAGAAAACACAAUAACUUGUAGUUGAUCUCCGAGUCAUUGGGUAACCAGCCCAAUCCGAAUCACAAAAAGCUCGCAGAGACAUACCAUUUUGAGAAGAGAAAAACAAACCCUGACCUGGAGCACCUUUCAAGUAACGCAAGACACGCAAGCUAGCCUCCAUGUGCGGUUUGCGUGGGGCAUGCAUAAAACGACUUAGCAAGUCACCUCCAUGUAUAGAAUACAUGAUAUCCAGUCGUGUAAUAGUCAAGUAGAUUAGGCGCCCCAUAAGUCUUCUAAACUAAGAUGGAUCUUUAAGCAAGUCACCUACAUCAAAGAGUUUUGUGUUUUGUUCCAUAGGAAAAUUCACGGGUUUAGCACCCAAAACCCCGCCAUCCUUCAGAAUUUCCAAAGCGUAUUUUCAUUGUGAGAUAGAAAUACCUUUUUUCGAUCGAGAGACCUCAAUGCCCAGAAAAUACUUCAAAUCACCCAAAUCCUUAAUGCGAAUGUCGUCAACAUAUAUCAAUAAUGUAGUAAGAGAUUUACCAUUGCGACAUGUGAACAAUGAAUAACCUGCUUUAGACUGAACAUAUCCGGCAGCUUGAAUAGCUGCAGAGAAUUUAGCAAACCAGUGGCAAGACGCUUGCUUUAAUCCAUACAAUGACUUGUUGAGGCGACAUACCAAGUUCUCCCCCUGUCGCUGAAGACCAGGAGGUGGACACAUAUAAAUUUCUUCGUGAAGAUCACCAUGAAGGAAAGCAUUGUGUACAUCUAGUUGGUGGAGGGACCAAUUCUGUGCUGCUGCUAAAGCCAAUAAACAGCGGACGGUAAUCAUUUUGGCAGUAGGAGAGAAUGUGUCAUGUAUGUUGUAACCCAUUUCUGGGUCCCCACAUAAAAAAUAAUAAAAUACAAAAAAAAAUUCAAAAAAUAUAUUAUCAAAAAAUAGAACAGUGAAAAAAUGCCAAAGCGCCCUGAAAAUGCUCAAAAAAAUUGUUUAAGGAUUUUCAAAAAUAUAAAAAAUAUUUUUUGACAGUAUAUCAUUGACUGAUGAGAGCCCCGAUGAUAAAGAAAAUUCAAUUUGUGGAAGAAAAAUGCAAAAUCAGAAGUUUAUGGACUCAAUUAAAUUCUAUUAAAGGUUUAAUUGCAUUUAUGAAGAUUUUAAUUGCAAGAAAAAUUGAUUUUGGAGUUAAUUUGGGCUUUAAUUAGGAGAAAUUAAUUUUCUGGGGUCAAAUUAUAAUUUUUGGAAGUUAAUUUGGUCAAAUCAGGGGCUUAAUUGCAUAAAUAUUGAAGUUUAAUGGCCAAUUAGGGACUUAAUUGAAGAAAUCCGAGACCAAGGACUAAAAUGCAAAACGCGCGCAAAUUGAGGGACUUCUUUGAAUCUGACGCGUUUUGGCGCCUUUUCCUUUUAAAUGAAACGGCGCGUUUUGACCAAAACGGUGCCGUUUCAUCCACUGUUGCAAAAAAAAAAAAAAAAAAAAAGAAGCCCAAAACGGUGCCGUUUUGAAGGCACUGUAGGUCUUCUUCUUCCCCUGGACACGCGAGGCAGGGGAAAAAGAAGAUUUUUCUUCUCCCUUUUCGCCUACUUUCUUUCCCCUUUUUUGCGUAAAAAGACGCCCACCAUUGCCUAACGUUUAUCCUUUGAAACGGUAGUGGAGGGGGCGGCCAACAGUGGCCGCCCCACCAUGACGUCUCCCCUGUUUUUUGCCUAUAAAAACAGGGGAGAACCAAAGAAGAAAAAGAAGGACAGAAGGGAGAAGAAAGGAGGAGACCGAGAGAAAGGAGACCGAGGGAGAGAGAGAGGGCAAAGAAGAAGAAGAAGAAGCAGAAGCAGCAGAGAAGAAAAAUAAAAACAGAAGAGAGAGAGAAGGGAAACGCAGAACCACCGUGCCUCCGCCACCAUCGCCUCCGCUGCCACCAGCAGCACCGCCUCGACGCCACCGCAGGUAAUCUCUCACCGCCUCGUCUCCUUCUCCGUUUGCCCGCCUCCUGUUUUCGAUUGCAUGUAGAACGUGAAUUAAUUCACUUUCUGCAGCUGAAGGAGGCUGGUUACUAUGGCACAGUAACCAGCCCAUUUGGUAAUGGGCCGGGUUGGCCCAGCCCACUUAUAUGGGCUGGUCCGACCCAUUUCAACCCAUUUCAAAUUUUUUUUUUUUUAUAAGUUUUUUACAAUUUUUCCAGCACAUAUAUUUUAUCAAUUUUGCUUAAUAUCGGUCUGUAUUUUACAUCGUAAAAAUAUAAAUCCGGUAUUAAAAUACCCGUUUUUCGGCAAAAACUUCCAAAAAUAAAUAAAAAAUUGAAAAAAAAAAAAAAAAAAUGUUUUUGUGCAUACGGCCAAGUGUCUCAAAUCUAAAAUAUCAUAUCGUAUUUUUCACAUGUUAAAAAACAAUAUUUUAGCAUGCAUUUUGGCUUUAAUAACUAGUUUAUUAAAGUCAAGAGAACAUUGGCCAAAAUCUCAAAAACAACAAAAUAUUUUAUUUUAUUUGAUUUUAGUAUCAGGGAUUAUGAAUUUAUACGUAAAUCGUAUUCCUGAUAUUAAAAAGAUAUUUUUUUUGACGACUUCGAAUAGUUAGUUUUUUACCCGAUGAAGAUAAGGAUCUCCUUACAGAGGAGGACUUUUCUUAAAUCAUAAACGAACCAACAAUUCAAAAACCACAACGAUUUUAGAUUUUAUCAGACAUUAAAACAAUGCAGCCUACCUUAGGUAGGGCGUAGUUGGGGUGCUAAUACCUUCCCUUUACGCAACCAGUCUCCGUACCCGAUCUCUAAAGACCAGUUAAGGUUCCUAGUAACCAGAAUACUAGGUGACGACUCUCAUUCCAAUUUUUCACUUGUAGAGACAAGAAUUCCUUGUCUCUCCCUUUUUUUCAAGGAAUAAAUUAUUCCGAUUUUUCCUUGAGGGUGGACGAUCGCCGCGCCGCCGCACACGUGCGACAAUGGAAAUCAAUACCUUCCAGCUAUGUGUAACCCUUGGCCACUAACCGAGCUUUAUGACGCUCAAUGGUGCCAUCUGAAUGGCGUUUGACUUUGUAUAUCCAGUAACAUCCAAUGGCAGUCUUGCCAGGAGGGAGGGAUGUGAGGGACCAAGUCUAGUUAGCUUCCAAUGUUGUGAGCUCAGUUUGCAUGGCAUUGUGCCAUUGUGGAAGGGAGGCAGCUUCAGUGUAUGAGCGGGGCUCAAUGUCCUAACUGAUGGUGGCAACAAAAGACCUGUGCUGUGUGAGUAGCGAUGAUAAGAAAUGAAAUUAGAAAGAGGAUACCUUGUACCUGUGGUGGGACUAGACGAUGAAGGCAGCGUUGGUUUGGGAGACGUUACUUGGUUGCAAACAUAAUCACGUAGAGUACGAGGAGGGUUGUGAUGCCGCUGGGAACGACGUAGAGGCUGCAUAGGAAGGAUAGGUUGUGAUAGGGGCACAUUAUAGGGAGAGGACGGAGGGACUGGGGUGGAAGACGCUGAGGAGGGGACUGGGAAGUCUGCUGAAGGAAAAUCAGAGAUGGAAAGGGGAAUGACUGGUGUGGCAGUUGUGGAUUCAAUUGAUGGUAUGGGAGGUGCAGGAAUGGUACGGGGUGAUUGAUAGGGAAAAAUAUGUUCAUGAAAGAUAAUGUCGCGGCUGGUGACAAAUUUAUGGGUGGUAAGGUUGUAGAGUUUAUAAGCUUUUUGGCCGACUGGGUACCCGAGAAAAACACAUCGUGCAGCUCGAGGAGCAAAUUUAUGUGUAGCGUGCACUUCAGUAGCAUAUGCAAGGCAACCGAAAACUUUGAGAUGGGAGUAAUUUGGAACCUUGUUGUAAAGUUUUUCAAAAGGGGUUUUAUAGGAAAGAAGUGGUGUGGGCAAACAAUUAAUUAAAUGGACAGCAGUAAGGACGCAUUCUGCCCAAAAAUACGAGGGGAGAUGAGCUUGAAAACGAAGAGCCCGUGCAGACUCAAGGAUAUGACGAUGUUUACGCUCGACGACCCCAUUUUGUUGGGGCGUAUAAACGCAAGAGUGUUGAUAAGUUAUGCCAUGUUGGCGGAAAAAAUUUUGCAUAGAAAAAAAUUCCCCCCUAUUAUCGACGCGAAUAUUUGCGAUGGAUGCAUUAAAUUGAGUUUUGACAAAGGAAAAGAAAUUGAUGAGUAAAUUUUGUGUUUCAUGUUUGUGAUGCAUAAAAAAAACCCAUGUAAAUCGAGAGUAAUCAUCCACAAUUGUCAAAAACUAUUUAGCACCAGAAAGAGAAGGAAUUUUAUAAGGCCCCCAAAUAUCGCAAUGAAUUAAUUCAAAUGGUCGAAUCGAGGAAAUUGAACUAGCAUAAAAGGGAAGACGACAUUGUUUUGAAAGUGCACAAAUAUCACAAGCAUCUUGGGAUUUAAAAGGAAAAUUGAGUAAAGUUUUUUCCAUAAAAUGUAAUCUAGAGGAAGAUAAAUGCCCUAAUCGGCGAUGCCACAAAUCGGUGGAGGAGAUGACAUGAGAAUGGGAUGAUUGGGUAGCAAUGGUAGCAGAUGCGGAGGGUUGGUAUUUUGGUGUUGGUGGUGUUGAUGCUAAUGCAACCAAGUAAUAAAGUCUGCCUCAUUGUUUACCCAAACCAAUCGUCGUCUUCGUCACCAAGUCCUGUAAAACACACCAAUAGGGGAAAAAGGUUACUUAACAAUUAAGUCCUCUUGUAAUUCAACUUAUGGACAUCAAAUCCACCUUAAAAGAUGGCACACCAAGCAUAUUUUUUAGAGAAAUAACAGAAUUCAAAUGUAAAGUCCCGGUAGACGUAAUUGGAGCCCAUUCUCCACUUGGCAUAAUAACUGGUGGCAAAGUAAUGUUUGUCGACUAUUGACAAGCAGAUUUGGAGAAGAAGUAAUAUGGUCAGUGGCACCACUGUCGAGAAUCAAUCGACUUGGCAUAAUAACUGGUGUUUGUAACAAACCUGCAGUGGUUUCUGCAGCAUUUGCUUGAGGAACAGUGGUUUGAGCAUUUCCUGUAUUGUUCAUGAUAGACAAUAUCUGCUGGAAUUGUAAAUCAGAGAGUCCUUUCAUCACCGAAUGCUUCUCUUCCAUCGUGGGACCUUCCUUGAUGUAAUUAGCUGAAGGUUGUGCAGGUUUGUUGAAUUGUUGACGACUUCCAGACUUGUUGAAUAUGUUGGCUUUAUGCUUUGGGUGACCUGGUGGAUAUCCAUGCAAUUUUCAACAUGUAUCUUGCACAUGAUGUUCACUGUCACAGUAUGUGCAGUGCAGUGGCUUACGAUUAAAGGAAUUGGAGCAGGAGGUUACCCCUUGACCUGAUCGAAAAGCCAGAGCCGUGGGUGCAUUUCAUUGAAUUGCCAUGGCUGCAGUUUUUGUUGCAUCAUGUGUAUCACCUAAGUUGUGUUGCUUUUCUUCUUGAACAAUGGAAGCAUAAGCCUGAUGAACAUCAGGUAAAGGAUUCAACAGUAGAAUCUGCCCCCGAAUUGCCUUGUAAGAUUCAUUUAAUCCCAUGAGAAAUUGCAUCAAUUGUCGUCGCUUAUGAUCUGCUCCACAAGAGCAAACAGUUCUGUUGUAAGAUCCCAAUUCAUCCCACAAUCCCUUUAGCUUUGUAUAAUACGCCGCAACUGUCAUCUGAGCUUGAGAAACACAAGCUAUAUCUCUCUCAAUCUGAAAAAUACGAGGAGCGUUACUUUGAGAAAAAUGAUCUCGAAGAUCCUCCCAAACUUCUUGUGCUGUAGUUGAAUAUAUAACAUUGUCGGCAAGUUCUGGUGUAAUUGAGUUGAGAAUCCAUGAUAAAAUCAUGUCGUUGCAUCUUUUCCAUAAAGCAUGAUCAUCUGGCUGGUUGAUGGCUGAUGGUAUUUGUAUUGUCCCAUCUAUAAAUCCCAAUUUAUUUUUAGCGUUUAAAGAAAUUGUCAUAGAUCUGCACCAAGUAGAGUAGUUAUCACCAUUGAGAGGUUUGGAAACAAGCACCAAUCUCGGAUGAUCGGAAUAGUAAAGAAAAAAAAGGAUCAAAGGCAUUAUUCCUGCCUUUCUUAGAAAAUUGCUCGUGUUCCAUGGUAGUUAACAAUCGACAAAAAAAAUUAAAGCAAGAGUUUGGUUGGUGGCUGAUGGUUUUAUGAGAAAGAAGAGGCUUCUAGGUUUGCUAGCAGCAACAGAGACAAAGAGCGGCAAGAGAAGGAGAGCUAGGGUGAACCAAGCUCUGAUACCAGGUAAAUUUCAGAGGAAAAAGGGAAUUGCCAACCCUGUUGUGUAUUAAUUGAGUCUGUCACAGCUGCAUUAUAUACAAGAUUAUUUUCCUAUAUUGUGCUAAGCUAAUUCUAGAAUAACAGUUACAAUAGGAAUACAUAUCUUUGACAUCAUAUGUUUCCUAACACAUUACGUAAACAUGAGAUUGAUUCUUUCUUAACACUUUGGCUAGAGGAGAGCCGUCGAGCACAUAAAAGCUUAAUGUGGAAAAAAAAAACCGGUUUAAAUUUAAUCAAGUGACUCACAUGCUUUGGAUUAGUAAGUGCCAUCUCCGAUGACUUUGAAGUUAUCCAAACACUUGUUUAUGUUUUUUUUUAGGUUGCCAGCCCCAGUUUACGGGUUACCUCGACUAAUCUGGUGGUCGUCCCGGGUCGCAUACCUGGCAGUGGCAGGUGAGGCUACCAAUAGGUGUUGCUGCGUACACGAGGACUCGAAACCGAGACAUCGCUUAAGCGGAACAAGCUGCUUACCACUUGAACCAACCUUCAUUGGUUAACACUUGUUUAUGUUAAACGGGGUGUUUGAAGUUAGUUAUCAGCACUGGGAUAUGGCCAUGUCCGGUUGCGGAGGUGAUCGGAUUUUAUGGACAUCCGUUGAUCAUAGCCAUGAUUUCAUCAACAAUUUAAUAAACAUGUCAUUAAAUAUAAAGAGUGUGAUUAUUUUCAUUUUAAGAAUUAACUGUGGAGAGAUGGGCACAUCAUAAUUCACAGGACUUGCAAAUUCACAAUGAAAUGGUGAACAGGAAAUUUAUUGUUGAGAGAAAGUGGAAGAGAGAAAACAGAGCAAAUAAGUUUUUUACUUUGGUUUUCAAAAUUUUUGAGGAUUUUUUUUAAUUUCGAACUUUGUUUUUUUUUUUAAUUUUUAAUUUUAUCAUUCAUCAUUUCAUCAUUGAAUUUAUUAGUUAUAAGAUUUCAUAAUUUAUUUUAAUUUAUUUUCUAUAAAGUUAUUUUGAUCUCAUGAUCCAUACCAUAAGGUUUGUUGGUUGGUCGUGUUAACUUGAGUUAUUUUUUUUGUUUAUUUUUUAAUUAUUAUUUUUUUUAAUUUCAUCUUUCAAUAUUAAGUUGAUUAUAAAUUGAAUUUUUUUUAUUAUUAUUCUUUUUCUAUGGAGUUAUCCUUAUCUUUUAACCUGAGUUUGUUAAGUUAACUUGAGUUGACUCUAGUUAUUUUUUCAAUUUAAUCUUUUAAAAUUGGGUUGAUUGGGAAUUGAAAUUUAUAAUUUUUUUAUUUGCUUUCUACGGGGUUAUCACUAUUUUAUGACCCGAGUCACAAGCUAGACUAGUUAACUUGGGUUUUUUUUAUCCUUUUUUUGUUUCAUCCUUCAAUAUUAAGUUGAUUGAAAAUUAGGCUUUAUAAUUUAUUUUGGUUUGCAUUAUAUGAGGCUAUCCUUAUCUCAUUAUUUAGGUCACGGGUUUAGUCGGUUGACUCGGGUGGUUUUUUAAGUCCUUUUUUAAUUGACUUUUUAUAUAUAUAUAAAAAAAAUUCCUUGAAAAUUUGAUUGAUUGGAAAUUGAGUUUUAUAAUAUAUUUUGAUUAGUUUUUUAUUGGGAUAUCUUUGUCUUAUAACCCAUGUAUGAUAGAUUAAUCCAAGUUGACUCAACCUGUUUUUUUAAUUAAUUUUUUUUUAAUUUAUCAUUCAAUAUUGAAUGGAUUGAGAAUUGAAUUUAUUUGUUUUCUAUAGUGUUAUUAGAGUCUAACGAAUUUUAUAGAUUAACCCAAGUUUAUCCAAGUCAGUCUAAUAUAUUGUUGUUUCAAUAUUUAAAAAAAAGAUGUUGUUCUGAUUUUAAGUCAAACUAUAUUUUUAUUGGUUGUUCAAGUUGUCUUUUGAAUUUGUCAAGUCAAUCAAGUCAUAUCAGAUCAAUUUUUAUAUAGUUUAAUUUUAUUUUUUUACUAAAAAAAACAUAUUAACAACUUUCAAAUAAUUUUUUUAUGUUAAAAACAAUUAAUCUCAUUCACAACACGAGAAAUGUAUAAAAGGAGAUUAGGGUGUUAAUAAUUUUUAGGAUUAUAAUAUUUUUAUGCUAUGUUUGGUACCAAGUAAUUGUAAUGUAUAAAACGCUAUUAUGGUGUAAACAUUUGUGAGGCUUAUAAUACUUUUAUGCUAUGUUUUGUACCAUGUGAUGUAAUUAAAUAUGUUGUGUAAAAGAAAGUUAUGUAAUGUAAUUGAGGCCUUCAUAAAGUUUCAAUUUAUUCAUUAAAUGUUUUCAAUAAAUUUAUUUUAUAGUCUCUAUAUUUUAUUUUUAUUUACAAAUUGGUUCAAUUGUUUUUAAAAAAAUGUCCAUGUAUUUUACCAUACAGUUAUUGUUUUAAGAAAUAUACACUCCAGUGUUUAGCAUUUCAGUAAUGGAUUUUUUAAUAGAUUUUAAUUUUAUUUGCUAAUAAAAUUGUUUUUUAAGUCUAAUAAAUGAUAGUGCAUUGAGAAAAUCAAAUUAUAUAAAUAUUCAAGAGUUAGGCGAGUCUGAGCGUGUAGCCAGUAUUUGCACUUGCAGUCUCUGUUUCGUCUCCAAUGAAAUUAAAGACGUCUAGGUCAAACCAAACCUCACCUUGCUUACCAGAAUGGCUACACCUAGCUGGCCUCUGCUAGAUGGCUGGAUUGAUAAAUUCACAGCAUUGAGUGAUUGUAGUCCCAAAAAUUAUUGAUUGAUGUUAAUAAACGUGUUAAUUAGGCACAAAUAGGACACACGCAGUGCAAACCCCGUCAGUGGAGCCAAGUACAGAAAUUAUGGAGCUUGAAAGAAACGCAGGGAGCAUGACACCAAGUACAGAAGCAAUUCCAAUCCAAAAAUAGAACAUGAACUAAGCUUCUUUAAGAUAGUUCUAAGAUUCAAAAAUGUGAGAUGUGAAAUGGCUGUUGGAUCUAGAAAGUUACUUAAUAUGUGCAUCAAGUAAUAAAUAAUGAGGUCCCGAAAAUCCAAAUAGUUCAGAAAUAAAAAUCUCGGGUUGGAUAAUUAAUGAAUUAAUUAGUUCUAGCAAUCUCACUUAUUUUUUCUAGCAAGAGAAUUUGAUAAUUUAUAUUCAGUGCUUAGUAAGCCAAGAUAGCUUGUAGCUAAUACAUGCAAAGGAUCCACUAUGGUGAAGAUGAGGAUCCUUUUAUGUUUAAAUAAGUAUAUUUUCAGAUAAAAAAAAUACAAGAAUAUUCUAGAAAGAAAUGUUCUGAAAAUUUAUUUGCAGUAGAGAAUGAAGAUUGUUAACCUUUGUUCUGAAAGUUUCAUGGUAUAUUUAUAACUCAUGAGUUUUUUUUUUUUGAAGAGAUGGUCUGGAGUGUAAUUUUAUCUUAAUAGCAUUUAAUGAGAUACAAAUAUAUUUUAUAUCUAUAUUAAUAUUUGAUGGAAAUAUAAUGCGUUUUUUAAGGACUUUUAUAUACUUACAAGGUAUUAAGAGAUUAAGAUCUAAAACGUUAGUUGAAUUUAUUUAAGGCUAAGUUCCUCUCUUAAACUACACCUAAUGGAGGAGGGCCAUCUCUUUAAUCGUGUACAAUGAAGGAUAUGGUCACUAUCUUCGCAUGUCAAGAGAGGAUGUGAUCAUUCCUUUAGAUGUGCUCAGUCAUGCUCAAGAGAUGAUAGUCAUUCUUUUAGGGGUGCCCAAUGCAUGGCAUUUCCUUGGAUAUCCCUGGGGAAGGCUUAGGCGUGCUCAUGGCUUGUAACAGCCACCUCUAGUAGCCUAUACAAAUAUGGAAAGAAGGUGACUGUGUUGAGGUAAUUACAAAAAAAAAAAAAAAAAAAAAAAAAAACCUUGAAAUUCUUCUAUUGCCGGUUUCCCCUUCUUUUCUUUUUUUAUAUAAUUGACUGGGAAUUGCUGCGUGCUCUUUUUUUCGAGCAAUCUUCGACAGAUAUUUGGCAUGCCAUAUGUGCCGGUGUGAAAUCUGCGUGCUCCCUUGCAAAUGUUUCAGGGGAUGAAGUGACAGGGAUGGGAUUCGCGGCUACUUGUUCUCUUGGUUUGUAGACUUUUUGAAAAAUGUUACUGGAAGAUACCUUUUGUUUUAUUGUGAAUUUUUGUUUUGAUUGAUGAUUUGGUUUAGAAAUGUUACUUCUUAUUCGACAAAGUGGUUUGAUUUGACAGUUGCGGUCGAUGCUGAUGGAAGCCCUGUUACAGUUUCCUGGAGUGGUGAUUCAAGACGGAAUGUUAUAGUAUGGAUGGAUCACAGAGCUGUUAAACAAGCUGAAAAGAUCAAUUCUUCUAGCUCACCAGUACUGCAAUAUUGUGGUGGAGCUCUUUCUCCUGAAAUGGAGCCACCAAAGGUUGUUGGGAAUGCAUUAAUUCCCUUGCUCAAUCCUAAAAUAUGCUUUCUGUACAUUAAUUUGUUUGCACAACAUAUAUAUUCAUCAAUUCAAGUUCAAAUAAUUGUCACCUGCAUUACUAUGUAGUUUUGGGCUUUGGGAGCAAGUAAUUACUUUUUUUCGAGAAUGAUUUGCCACCCUUUUCAGAUUAAUAUCUAAGCUUCCAUUUCUGCUGUUAUUAGAGUUUGAGAUUUUCAACAUAUUGGAAAUCUUAGUACAUAUCUAAUUCCUCUAGGUUUAUUGAGAAAUGAAAACGGACUUAUGACUAAUCUUGGUAUUCAAGAUUUGCACUGUCUUCUUCUUUUGUGGUGGACUGCUGAAGUUUUUGUUAUAUCUGAAAAAAUACCAUUCAACCUGAAAGUGAUGAGUUACAGCUCAUAGCUUCUUAUCAUAUUAAAAGUAUAGAAUUGUAUUUACUGGUACUUGUAGCUCUUGUUCAGUGUGAGUGACUUUUGUAAUUUACACAGGACGAAGUGUAGCUUUCCCUGGUCAUCCUUUGGGUUCUGGUUUAACUCCUACAGCUGCACAGGCAAGAAUCUUUUGUGUUGAAGAAUUCGUAUCUUCUGGACUUUGAAGCCCUGACUUGUGUAUUCUUGACUCCAAACAGUGACCUACUUUUUCAGGAACUGGGUCCUGUGGCAGGAACAUCUGUGGCUGUGGGGACUUCACUGAUAGAUGCUCAUGCUGGUUCUGUUCCAAAAACAUUAUAUUCGGAAAUCUUUCUUGAUUUAAUAUCUUUUUUAUAAAGAUAUACUGGUUCAUCAAAUAAUAUUUCUUGUGACAAAUAAACAAGUUAGUAGACAUUAAAAAUAAAGUGCCAGAAUAUUUUUUUGUCGUGCCUGGGACUUAUCACAUUGCUAUCAGUUGAAUCGUGAUUGAAUUUGACUAACAUUAAAUCUAAUGUGUCUUUAUUAAAACGUGCUUGUAUUAUUUUAAACUUUUUUCAAUUUAAUACAUAAAAUUUAUUAUUUUCUUUUGAUACACCGACUUUUCAAUUGUCCCCGUCAAGUACUUGUUAAAAAAAUUAUAUAUUUUAUAUUAUAUCUAUAUUUUAUUUAUUUGUUUUGAUUAAUCAUAAAGUAAUUUUUAAACUCCGUGUAAGGCACAGAUAGCUUAUCAUUAAUUAAAAAAGUUUUCUUUUCAAAAGGAUUUAAUUUAAUUUAAAAUAUCAUUUUUCAUUAUAUAUAAUAUUAUUUUGGAGGGUACUUAUAUGAAAGAAACCACAUUAGAAAAUAAAGCCUCUUUCAUAGGAAAUGAUUUUAAAAAAAAUUCUCGCCGCCAAUUCCCCCCCCCCCCCGCUUGUCUCUUCCACUCUUCCAGCAUAUGAAGGAAAAUGAUAAAUGAAAAAUAAAAAAUAUAUAUUUUAGCUUUUCAGUAUUUAUUUUACAUACUUUAAGGGAAGGAGUACUAAACGAAAUAUUAUUUUAUUAUUUCUCUUACAAAAAUAUUGUUCCUAAAUAUCUUGAAAAAAUAUCAAAACAUCAUUCAUUAAAAUAAUAUUUUAUUUAACUAGUUUUUUCUACUUUGAAUUUUUUUUAAAUCUAUUUUUUUUUAUUUGUUUAAUAUAAAAUUAUCCUGAUCUAAUAACUUGUGUCAUGAGUUUAGCGAGUUUAUCCAGGUUGACUCGGAUCAUUGUUUUUUUAAAUUGAUUUUUUUUUAAUUUCAUCCUUUAAUAUUAAAUUCAUUGAAAAUCAUCCAAGUUAUUUUUAAACUCGUCAAAUCAACUGGAUCAUAUUAGGUUGUUAAAAUAAUUAUAUAUUAAAUAUAUUAAAAUACAAUUGACUAUUGAAAUGCACAUAAAAUAAAUAAAUAUAUAUAUACACAAACACAUAGUUAUACUAUUUAAAAAACUAUAUUAUCAAUUUAGCUCUUUUAAAUAUCAUCUCCUCUUAGAGAUGCUCUUGGAGUUUAUGAUUGGCAACGUUGAGAGCAUGAUUUCUAAAAAUAAUUUUUAAUUAAAAAUGUAAUUUUUUUAGUUUUAUUUUUAUUUUUAUUUUUUAUAUAAAAAUAUCUAAAUUAUUAAAAAUAUUUAAAAAUUAUUAUUUUAAUAUUUUUUCAAACAAAAAAAUAAUUUGAAAAACUUUUGAAAAUAUAUUCUAACAAUAAAAACAAAUACUAAACUCUGGUGAUAAGAAAGGUUGUUAGGCAGAUGAUUUAUUUGUGUGCUAGUGUGAAUGAUGUGUCCUUUCAAACAACCAUAAAACUUUCUUAGGCUCCAAAGUCCAGGCACGUGCCCAAGAGCAGACCUCACUGCAAGCCCUGACAUGUCUGUAUUACAAACCCAAACAAACUUUCUAGGCCCUCUUCUUCUUUUACAAUGGUAUUUUAAAAAUAAUUCAAUUAUUCCAUGUUUUGAAUAAUAUUUGAAAUUUUAUUGUAUUAUUUUUUAUUGUGAUAUUUACUUAUUUUUUAUGAUUAUAUAGGAUACUAAUGCGUACAAGUCUAAACAAAUUAGGAUAAAUAUUCAUUAAGAAUAAAAUAUAUAAUUUUUUAUUUUUAUAUUGUCAAACUUUAUAUUAUUUAUUCCAAUUAAUUAUUAAUUUUUUUUUAUAAAGUCACAUGAAAAAAAUUGAAAUAUUUUAUUAUUAUUAUUUUUAAGAUUGCUUUAAAUUAUGAUAAAUUUUAAUAAUAGUGCUUUUGAUAAAAAUAAAAAUAAAAACAAAUUCCCUAGAAAAUUCUUCAAAAACUUAAUGAAUAAGGAAAAUGAAGUCUUGGCUAAAGAAAUCAUUCUUUCUUUCAUAAUUUUAAUCAUUCGAGUUUUGAUAUAUAUUUAUUUUAAUUGCUUUAAAUAUUUGCUCAAAUAAUGAUGUUGUUAAUAAUAUGUAAAAAACAAAAACUAUAAUUAACAAAAACGAAUUUUGACAAUAGAAAUAUAUUUUUUUUCUCAUAAUUUAAAUAAUUAAGGUUUUUAUUAAUAUUUAUUUUAAUUAUUGCAAAAACAAUUAUAGAAUUUAUUCCUCUUAAAUUUUAAAUAGAUGAACUAUUUUUCUUAAUAAAUUUAUAAGAAUGGAAAUUAUAUUCAUUUCGUGAACCAACAUUACCAUCCAUGAUAAGAGAAAAUAAAUAAAAUGAGAAGGUUAACCAGGAUAAAAUAUUUACAUAUGCAUUUAUCUUUCACUUCUUUUAUAAAAGAUAUUUUUCUACUUUAAUCUUUAAUUAGUGUUAAUAACUCUUUUAUGAUUAAAAACCUUACUUUUCAAAUAAGAUUUAAUUUUUUUAAUGGUUAUAUUAUCAAUUAAUUUAUAAGACAUUUUAUCUAAAUCUAAUUUGUAAUUUUGUUUUAAAAGUUGCUCCUGACUAUUCAAUGAGAGUGAUUUUGUAUUUUUCUUAUAUUAAUGUUUAUAUAAUUUUCUUAUAUUAAUUAUUUGUUUUUUAUUUUUUAUACUAUUGCUUGAAAUUACUAUGAUAUAUUUUUAAAAAUGAAUCUUAAAAAGAUAUUAUUGAUUAAAAAAACAUAAUAAGGAAGAAAGUGAUUAAAAUCAUUUGGAUUCUUUUGAGUGUUGAUUUUAAUUGUGUUAAGUUUUUAUUUAGAAAUUAUACUACAUAUAAAAAAAAUACAUAUUUUCAUUAAAAAAACAAAAAUUCUAAAUAUUUUUUUAUAAUUUAAAUUGUAAACUUUUUGAAAAAUAUUUAUUCUCAUUAUCACAUAAUUAAAUAAAAUAAGUUGUAAAACUUUCUGAAAAUUUCCUCACAUAGCUAGUUCUCUUCUAAGGCAUUUCUCAUCAUAAAAAAGAAAUCAAAUUUCAGCUUCUUAUAGGAAUCCCAGGUAGCUUGAGUUUCUUUCCCCCUUUGUAGGGGAAUGCCCCUCUGGCUAGAGGAGAGCCGCCGAGCACAUAAAAGCUUAAUGAAAAAAAAAAAAAACACCGGUUUAAAUUUAAUUAAAUGACUCACAUGCUUUGGAUUAGUAAGUGCCAUCUCCGAUGACUUUGAAGUUAUCCAAACACUUGUUUAGGUUAAACCGGGUGUUUGAGGGUAGUUAUCAGCACUGGGAUAUGGCCAUUACGGAUUUUAUGGACAUCCGUUGAUCAUAGCCAUGAUUUCAUCAACAAUUUAAUAAGCAUGUCAUUAAAUAUAAAGAGUGUGAUUAUUUUCAUUUUAAGAAUUAACUAUGGAGAGAUGGGCACAUCAUAAUUCACUGGACUUGCAAAUUCACAAUGAAGUGGUGAACAGGAAAUUUAUUGUUGAGAGAAAGUGGAAGAGAGAAAACAGAGCAAACGCAGGGGGAUCGAUUAACAUAGAAUUCAAUACAGGGCAAGAUGAAAUGGACAAAAACAGGCUUGGAAACCAACUACCAGCUUAGAGCUUGAAAUACUUUGAAAAUCUGAUUAGAUGGUGACAGCAUCCAUGAACUCCAAAUCGUUUCCUAAAGCCUUCAAAGUCUCCGGCAAGAGGGAUAAUUCAAUGUCCACGCUCCCCUCUUCCAGUCCCGGAAACAAUGUUACCUUCCCAUCGAACUUGUUCCCAGGCCCGCUUCGCACUGCAACCGGCCUUCCCCAACCAAAAUCAGUACCAUAAACGUUGUGCCUCGGCGAGCUGCUAAUAGCCAAACUGUGAAUAAGUCCUAUGCCGGCCAUUGUUAAUGGACUAGGAUUCUUCAGCACCGACGCUAAAGCGUCCGCCACCUUGUUUUUUUCAUACGAAGAAACCACCUUGUUAAUCUCCAAAGCUACAAAUCCAAGCCCUUGCUCCAGUAUCGCUCCUGUUCUCAAAGUUACAAUCCCAGACACAAUUGCAUUUCCACAAUAGCUUUCUGGUAAUGGUGGUUGUAAUCGUGCCCGCAAGCCUAUAAAAAGUCUUAAAUCAAUCUCUUUAUCAUGUUCAAGUAGUCGAGCUCGAGUUGUAGCUCUCCAAAUAUGAGCCAAAAGUGACUGAAGAGAGGAGAUUGACGUAGUGGCAGCUUCAGCAUUGGCUUUUGCUUUGAGCAUCGCUAUUUUUCCCUUGGUAAAAUGAAAAACUCUUUCUUGCAGAGGUGAUGGAAUGAACGAAUCAGAGUUGUUCUUGAUGACUGAGAGAGGAAGGCGAAUCGGCGGGCUAAUACUACAGUUGAGAAGUGAC